UGGAAGAUCUCCAGUACCCUUCCAUUAAUGCCGUGCCCCAGUACCUGACUGGUCACUUUGUACUCUUCCGUUAUUGCGUUCUUCUUGAUCUGUAGGGUCGGUUUCACAUGGAACUGUGGGAGGUGACCCGAAGGGAGCGGGUUAGGUUGGCCCUGGGUCGGGGGGAACAGAGGCUGGGUCCCGGUGUUGGACAACAUACUGGGUCAGUUCAACCAGACAAUGACAGCACUUUCCUUCUCUCUGUCGGUCUCUCCUUCCUGGGUUACAGAUGGGUGGAUCGGAAAACCAGUUAUAACACUCGGGUCUACAGCUGCCAGUUUCCUGUGGGAAAGAGAAAUGUCCCUGUAUUUACCAGAAAAGGCAGUUCAUCCACCAUGGCAGAAGAGGAAGAUCUGGACUGUUGAUUGGGAAACAAGAACUAAACAAUGAGGCAUGAAGAUUGGAUGUUGAGUGACCAGUUGUCACAUUGUCCAAUGCUUUUUCUGUCCAGCCAAAGAGGAUGUGAUGCAGUACUGACCAAAUGUUUCUUUGUUUUCCAGUCCAACAGCAGUGCAUCCCUCAGAACAUCCGGUGCCAGUGUGAUCCAGUUGUGGAGGUUAUAGCUCAUCAAGCCUGUGGACGGACAGAGACGUGAGGGGUGACAUGCGGAACAUCAGGCUCACCCUAAUUUGAAGCAGUGCAUGAUCAACGCCACUCAGCAAGGAGAUCUGCAGGAAAUGAUCGCUCUCUAAGACAUUUAAAACAUCACAGAUAGAAAUUCGCACUGUGCCCACGAUAAAAUGCAACUUGGAUUGUAUUGUACUACUGAAUGAAACUGGGGAGAUGCACUCAGAUCAGCCUUUGUGAUUGAACUUACGUUAACUAGACUGAACAAAAUAUAAACCCGACAUGUAAAGUGUUGGUCCCAUGUUUCAUGAGCUGAAAUAAAUGA